UUUAACUUAAACUAGUAUGAACAAGGCUUCGUUAUAUAAUUUACUUGAAGGAUAAGAAACAUCUAAGAUGAAAUUUUAAGGUUCUACUUACAAAGGCUUAAAUCUAAAUCCCGAACGGCAGAUACAGGUAUAUCUGGAGACUCCGAAGUCCUAAUAUACCUAAACCUAUGCCCUUCUCCUGGUUAGGAUUGCUUAGAACAUUAUGACUAAGGAUGAAAUAUUUUAAAAUUGUAUCACAAACAGCUAAAUUCAUAAAUUAUCGCCUUGUACUAAUAUUGCAAAAUGUUUACAAUUUAUAGCAUUUGUUCACUUACUUUACUUUUGUUACACAUUUUCAAAUACUUACAGGGUGAUUUUGUUAUAUCUGACCAAACUCUGAAGGGUGAAUAUGUAGGUCAUACUGAACAACUUUUACCAUCUUCAAUUCAAAAUUCAAGAGUUCAACUAUGGACACAGAAUAAAUAAGUACUAGGUACAAAAGACUCACUCUCUAACAAAACGCGUCUGUUACGAUCAGCACAGAUAUGGCCGCUAGGUGGCGACAGCGCCAAGCAUGGCUUAUGGCUUUCCCGAAAAUUGGUGUGGAACGGAUGUACUUUUAGCUACCAGAGUACCUACCACGAACCACGUUCGACGUAUUGCCUUUCUGUCGCACUUGUAAAUUCGUACUUAAGUGUAACAGGGAGAUAACACGUCGAACGUAUAGGUAGUUCGCGGUAGGCCCCCUGUAGCAAAGCGACGAAAUCGCGGAGUGAGUCACGCCUGCUAUGGAGCCAACCCCGAAAUCGAGAAAAACAAUCAGGUAUAGAAAACAUUGAUUCACCGAAAUGUAUGAGACAGCAAAUUUUUUGAGUUUGGUCAGAGCAUAGACAAAAUAUUUGGUCACAGAACUCAAGAGAAUAACAAAACCACCCUGUAGAAUUAAAGAGAACGCCUGCUUGGAUAUAAUAGCAAAAGUUAUUUCUGUCUACCUUGAGACUAGGUAAUAAGGCGCUGCCGUAAUAGUUAGUUUAGUAUCAUUCUACUUUACCAACCAUUAGGUAUUUAGAAACAACGGAUGCAAUUAGUAAAAUUAAUUUACUUAACUGAAAAUGUACACAAUAAAUGUGACUUAUGGAGUGCCAUUUAGGGAUUUACGUUAUUCCUAACUAUUUUUAAACGAUAUCACAUCACAAGUAAGAAGGUAAGUAUAUAGUUUUUACAGAAGCUCUACAGAGGCCAUUUGUAUUUUUCCUACUAGAAUUUGGUAAUAUAAUAAUUAAAAUUGUAAUCACAGUGAAUACAGAAAAGUAGGCUGUCUUCAUAAAGGUUUACUUGUCACAUAGUAGAGUGGUCUAAGCUAACUUUGCACCUUUGCAACUUUUGCAUUUGUAUAGAACAAAGUGCAGGAGAUUCAUUAUAAACGUCAUAUUUUCAUAGAUUUUUUACAUUAAUUAGACAUUUCACAUUUCUUCAUUAUAAAUGCCAUGCAGAGAUUGCAGAAUUAGCUUGGUCCGACUAUUUUCAGUUUUUUUAUGGGAGCGAGGAUAUAUCUUUCUACACACUUUAGUUUAAAUUCGAUCAUACAAAUAGUUAUGUACCUAUAUUUUACAUAAUAAUACUUUACUAAACAGUUUAUAACUCAUAAAAAAGGAUUAAAAUUUGGCCACCUGUUUUUUCUGCGACCGAACAUCGAUGAAAACGCUCUAUGAUUUUAUUUUCACUGUGUAAUGUACAAUGAUCGUACAUUUUCCAGCAUUUUGGGGGGAUAAAGUGAAACACCUUUUAUACAUCCCCUUAGUUAAAAGGCUGCUGAUGAAGGAACAUCGAUGGUAGUUUUUAUUUCAGCCCUCUAAAAAACUUCAACACUAUAAUUUCUAUGCAAAAUAACUAAGUUAAAGUGAUCACAAUUAAUUUAUGAUGGGCAUGUACUAUGAUUUUAUAUAUAUACAAUUUAAUUCUACACUUAUAGGAAACUUUUUACACUUUACAAUGAUUUAGAAUUAUGCUACGCAACGUUUACAGUUUUUUCAACUGGUUAUUUUAUAUUAGCUACUAGAGUCGGACCGUGAAAAGUCUGCAGCGGAUUUGAUAGCCCACGCAGUGCAAGUGUUAUUUAUACGUCAUAAUUUCAUAGAAGUUGGACAUUUAAAAUAACAUUUGCACUGCGUGGGCUAUGAAAUCCGCUGCAGACUUUUCUUGGUCUGACUCUAGUAAAAUCCGACCAUCUGUGACCAUCACCGGAGUGUGGUUCGAAUGACGGUUUAUACUCUAUUAAAAAUAAAAUAACAAUGCCAAAAUAGGAAUAAUGAUCUUAUGAUGCUUAUGUGCAUAACGCUCGCCUAUAUUUAAGGAUAUUUGAUUUAAAUAUUUUGUAAAUAAAUAUGGCUUCAAAACAAGCAAAUAUCCUGUGUGGAUUACCAAACAGCACGACAAAAUGCAACAACAAUGUUCUUAAUAGUAACGUAGGUACGAAGUUGCGUCCCUCCAAAAUAAAUAUUUAAUAUAAGGCUAGUAGUGAAAGUAAUUAUAUAGCAUACAAAUUAAAAAUAAAUUAAUAUUCGGCGAGUCUAAGUACAACUAGAAGUACCAGAGUCGAGUUUUAAUAAAAGCCUUAUAAACCCAGAUUUCUUCGAUGACGGUCUUGGCAAGGCUUAGCGAUUACCACGUGACGGCUAAAAAUGAUGACCAGAAUAUACAUAAUAGUCAGUUGGCACAGUUUCUAAAAAAAAAACAUCGUAUUAGAAAAAUAAUCGACCACAACAGAAUUUGACCUUUGCAAUGCUUUCUGCUGAAAGGGUGUUAAAUGUAGUCGAUUAAUAAGGUUUAAUUAAUUAUAUAACUUAGAAAAUUCAGUAUUUAUAUUACACAUAAGUAAUUGAGACAUACCUACAUAUAGUGUUGAAGGAUGAUUUACCUACAUACCUAUAUGUAUGUAAGUUAUAGUUCGUCUAGUAAUUACCAGAAAUCGUAAAUUUUAUAGCAUUUUUGGUGCAGCGGAGUGGUGUUAACGGAAUUGGUAUAGUAAUGGUUGUUUGGUUGGUAAUGGUAAAGGGUAAUAUUAACGUAAUUAACGCUAAUUAAUCAUUAGGGUUGAAAUUGUUUAUACCAAUUCCGUUAACACCACUCCGUUGCACCGAAAAUGCUAUAAAAUGUACGAUGUCUGGUAAUUACACUACAGGAGUAAUACUAGUAGUAAGCUUAUCAAAGACAUCA